AUUCCGUGAUGAGACCAAUUUUGUAAUAAUUCUUUGUACCUUUCCCAUGCCUCAUACAAGAACUCGUCAUCCAUUUUUUAGAAAGUAGUUAGUUUGUUCCUUAACUU
rfam:Gossypium arboreum cultivar AKA8401 contig_99966_1, whole genome shotgun sequence.